UUUCCUACGGGGGGCUGCAGUGGGGAAUCUUAGACAAUGGGGGAAACCCUGAUCUAGCCAUGCCGCGUGAGCGAUGAAGGCCUUAGGGUUGUAAAGCUCUUUCAGCUGGGAAGAUAAUGACGGUACCAGCAGAAGAAGCCCCGGCUAACUCCGUGCCAGCAGCCGCGGUAAUACGGAGGGGGCUAGCGUUGUUCGGAAUUACUGGGCGUAAAGCGCACGUAGGCGGAUCAGAAAGUCAGAGGUGAAAUCCCAGGGCUCAACCUUGGAACUGCCUUUGAAACUCCUGGUCUUGAGGUCGAGAGAGGUGAGUGGAAUUCCGAGUGUAGAGGUGAAAUUCGUAGAUAUUCGGAGGAACACCAGUGGCGAAGGCGGCUCACUGGCUCGAUACUGACGCUGAGGUGCGAAAGCGUGGGGAGCAAACAGGAUUAGAUACCCGAGUAGUCCU
rnacentral:rRNA from 1 species